UGGUCAAUGCUGUAAGGGAAGGACACGAGGCAGGGGUGAGGUCAGCACUUGACAGGGGUGCCCGGCCCGAGGUCACCGUCCCCACUGAUGCUGGGGGGUCAUGGAGUCUUCUGACUCAGGCUGCCUUCAAGGGCCACGAGCACCUGCUGUCGCUCUUACUGCAGGCAGGGUUAAGCAUAGAAGGUGGAGGCACCACUGACAGGACACCGCUGAUGAUGGCUGCCCAGAAUGGCCACGCCCAUACAGUGAAGGUGCUGCUGGACCUCCGUGGUAACCCUCUGGCCAUGGAUAGUGACGGAAGGACAGCCCUACACUUUGCUUCACGGCAGGGCCACCAGCAGUGUGUGGCGGCCCUCUUGCCCGUCACCCCUCCCACUCCCGCACACCUCGAGGCACACACCCCGGUGCACGCCGCCAGUUAUGGUGGCCACGUGGAGGUACUGGAGCAGCUGGCAGGUGCUGGCUGGCCCCUCACCGCCAAGAACAGUUAUGGCGACACACCCAUGCACUCUGCUGCGGCCAAGGGUAGAGUGACAUGUGUGCAGUGGCUGGUGCAGCGAGGCGGUGACACAAGCAUACAAAAUAAUGCUGGACACACCCCGCUUGACAAGGAGCUGGUCACUGCUGUAGAGGAAGGAGACGAGGCAUGGGUGAGGUCAGCACUUGACAGGGGUGCCCGGCCCGAGGUCACCGUCCCCACUAAUGCUGGGGUGUCAUGGAGUCUGCUGGCUGUGGCUGCCAGCAAGGGCCACGAGCACCUGCUGUCGCUCUUACUGCAGGCAGGGUUAAGCAUAGAAGGUGGAGGCACCACUGACAGGACACCGCUGAUGAUGGCUGCCAGCAAUGGCCACGCCCAUACAGUGAAGGCGCUGCUGGACCUCCGUGGUAACCCUCUGGCCAUGGAUAGUGACGGUGAGGCUGUGCUGGUGGUGGUGGUGGUGGUGGUGGUGGUGGUGGUAAUUGUAGAUGUAGAUGUGAU